rnacentral:rRNA from 1 species
CCUACGGGAGGCAGCAGUAGGGAAUUUUCGGCAAUGGGGGGAACCCUGACCGAGCAACGUCGCGUGAACGAAGAAGUCACUCCUAAUGUUAAGCUUCUUUAACCGGGGAGCAAGAGAAAUCUGACGGUACCUGAAGAAUAAUCCCCGGCUAACUACGUGCCAGUAGCUGCGGUACUACGUAGGGAGCGAGCGUUAUCCGGAUUUAGUGGGCGUAAAGGGUGCGUAGUUGGCAUAGUAAGUCUGUGGUAAAAAUGCUGGGCUCAACCCAGUAGGGCAAAAGAUACUGCAGAGCUUGAGUGUGACAGAGGCAAGUGGAACGAGAGGUGUAGCGGUGAAAUGCGUAAAUAU